CACAGUUCCACGUGUAGACCUUUAUAUAUAAGACAAGAAAAUGAUCACGAGCGUCAUGCAUUUUGUGGCUCUUUAAUGACGUCGGAACAGAAUGAUCAGAAGCACAAGUAAACGGAGAUUUUUUUUUUUUUAAAAGAAACCCGAGGUUUCUGUCUUAAACGGGUUACUCAACGUGUCCCUCGUUAAAAUAAACAAAAAAAAAAAAACAAAAAAAAACAAAUGGCAAACUGUACCAAGGGUUCCUUUCAAAGAAAUUAAGAAAGCUGUUUUUACUUUAGUGAUGGGAAAAUGAAUGACUUUCUUCUGCCGAAGAAGAUUUGAAGCCUCAGCCUCAGUAUGAAUGAUGAUGACAUCUGGUGGUUAACUGAGGCCAAGGCAAGGUCUCGAGCACAAGUGAAGCAGCACUCACUGUUUCAGUCUCAUGUCACCAGUACAAUGUCAGAAAAGUCUAUGUUCAUUUUAUUCUGCAGACAAUGGCCGACCGGUGAGAUGGACCAUGUUGUUGAACUCCAGGCUCUCAACAUCCAAGUCCAGAAACUCCUGUCCAGACAGAGGCACCUGAGGGAUUUGAAGGCUUGUCUACUGGAAAAAUCCUCCCCAACAUCUGAAAUUGCCUCAGCAAAUUGUGGCUCAGUAACAUUGACUCUAUGCUGUGCUGCUCACUUUCAAGGCCAAGUGAGUUUUAAUUCUGCGCCUCAUCGUCGGAGCAACAACAUCAUCAAUGAAGAUCUCUGCCUGUUUCAGCUAUGCGUGCAGGGAUUUAAAGCUAGAUCACCUCCAUCUGCACAGGCAAGCAUCUCCACCCAGAACCAUUUCAACCCUCUCUGCUCCCCAAGUUUGCUUUCAACCCCGGGUGAUGUAUUUGUGAUGGGAGAUUCUAUUGUACAAGACUUAAACAUCUCAUCCCCUAAUCAAAUUUGUUGUCUCGUUUUCCUGGUGCUCACGUUCAAGAUAUUAUGAGAAGAGCGCCAACAGUCUAAGAGGCACAAGAACAAGGCAGUGGGAUGCAUUGUAAUACACGCCAGGGUAAACGACGUGAGAUACUGACAGUUGGAGAUUCUCAAGGUGGACUUCACAGCAUUAACCUUCCUCUUGUGUUAGGGUCAGCACCGACCUGUUUUACUUUUUAAAUGCAUAAAAAUACUACCUAAUUUUGUUUAUUGCA